CGUAGGUGGCAAGCGUUGUCCGGAUUUAUGGGUUUAAAGGGUGCGUAGGCGGUUCCAUAAGUCAGUGGUGAAAUACGGCAGCUCAACUGUCGAGGUGCCAUUGAUACUGCGGAACUUGAGUACUGAUGAGGUAGGCGGAAUUGACGGUGUAGCGGUGAAAUGCUUAGAUAUCGUCAAGAACACCGAUAGCGAAGGCAGCUUACCAAGCAGUAACUGACGCUGAGGCACGAAAGUGCGGGGAUCAAACAGGAUUAGAUACCCUGGUAGUCCGCACAGUAAACGAUGAUUACUCGAUGUUGGCGAUACACAGCCAGCGUCUUAGCGAAAGCGAUAAGUAAUCCACCAGGGGAGUACGCUCGCAAGGGUG
rnacentral:rRNA from 1 species